UACGGGGGGGGCAAGCGUUGUUCGGAAUUACUGGGCGUAAAGGGUUCGUAGGUGGCUGGCUAAGUCAGACGUGAAAUCCCUCAGCUUAACUGGGGAACUGCGUCUGAGACUGGUCGGCUCGAGUGCAGGAGAGGAACGCGGAAUUCCAGGUGUAGCGGUGAAAUGCGUAGAUAUCGAGAGGAACAUCGGUGGCGAAGGCGGCCUUCUGGACGAUGACUGACGCUGAGACGCGAAAGCGUGGGGAGCAAACAGG
rnacentral:rRNA from 1 species